rnacentral:lncRNA from 1 species
UUAGACUGAGUUCUAAGACCUUGGCCGGGGCAGUAAUAUAAAGUGGAAAAAGAGUUUUCCACUAUUGAACUCAAGUCGAAUAAAUCUUGACAUAUGACAGACGAUGGGGUUUGACGAGUUGUCCAUGACCUCCGUCCUGUAGGGAUCCACGAUAGUAGGAUUGUAUCACACGUUAACUGCACCUAGAGGUUCAUCAUUCCAUUCUGCUAGGUAGCCACUACAUGCUGCUAGGUGUCACUGGUGGAUGGUGGGACUCACAGGGAUUAUCUCGAUGAUUGAUAAACCCUAAUGAGUUGAGUUGGAAUCGUUCCAACCCAUUGAAAGGAGUUUUCAAUGAUAUAGUGAUAGAGAUCACAAUAUAUCUCACUACCAGUCAGAAUAAAACCUAUGGGGUCACACACACUAGAAGUAUUGACCGAUCCGAUGGUUGAAAAGUGAUUAUGAAUCACGAGUAAUCAAUUCGAUUGAUAAGAAGUUGAAGAAGGAAAGGGAAUUAAUUAAUUGGACUUGAAACAAGAAUCCUACUUCGGGUAGGAUACCUAGAGUCCUAAUUGGAUUAGGACUGGAAAUCCUAGUU